rnacentral:rRNA from 1 species
AAUAGAUACCCGGGUAGUCCACGCCGUAAACGAUGAGUGCUAAGUGUUGGGGGGUUUCCGCCCCUCAGUGCUGCAGCUAACGCAUUAGGCACUCCGCCUGGGGAGUACGGUCGCAAGACUGAAACUCAAAGGAAUUGACGGGGGCCCGCACAAGCGGUGGAGCAUGUGGUUUAAUUCGAAGCAACGCGAAGAACCUUACCAGGUCUUGACAUCCCAGUGACCACUAUGGAGACAUAGUUUCCCCUUCGGGGGCAACGGUGACAGGUGGUGCAUGGUUGUCGUCAGCUCGUGUCGUGAGAUGUUGGGUUAAGUCCCGCAACGAGCGCAACCCUUAUUCUUAGUUGCCAUCAUUCAGUUGGGCACUCUAAGGAGACUGCCGGUGAUAAACCGGAGGAAGGUGGGGAUGACGUCAAAUCAUCAUGCCCCUUAUGACCUGGGCUACACACGUGCUACAAUGGACGGUACAAACGGUUGCCAACCCGCGAGGGGAGCUAAUCCGAUAAAACCGUUCUCAGUUCGGAUUGUAGGCUGCAACUCGCCUAC